rnacentral:RNase_P_RNA from 1 species
AGUCAUACAUUCGCAUUCGCACAACGAAAGUUGUGAGGAAAGUCCGGACACCAAAGGGCAGGAUUCCCGUCGCAAGCCGGGGCACGGCUUAAACCGUGACAGAAAGUGCCACAGAGAAGAUACCGCCGUGCAAACGGUAAGGGUGAAAAGGUGGGGUAAGAGCCCACCGCUCCCAAGGCAACAAGGGAGGCAUGGUAAACCUAAUCCGGUGCAAGAUAAACAGGGACCGCUCUAAGGUCGCCCACCAAGGUCCCGGGUUGUCGCACCGCCGAAAGGCGGGACUGAAAGGUCAGAGAAAUGAAUGCGCAGAGGAUCGGUGAGAACCACCUCGGACAGAAUCCGGCUUACAGUGCAUGACUCAAC